rnacentral:rRNA from 1 species
AAUGAACGUUGGCGGCGUGGAUUAGGCAUGCGAGUCGAGCGAGAACCGUAGCAAUACGGGGACAGCGGCGAAAGGGACAGUAACGGGUAGAUUAUCUGCCCUCAGGUUUGGGAUAGCUGCGGGAAACUGCAAGUAAUACCAAAUAAUAUCUCCGGAUCAAAGGUGUGAUUCCGCCUGAGGAUGAGUCUGCCUCCUAUUAGCUUGUUGGUGGGGUAACGGCCUACCAAGGCAUUGAUGGGUAGCGGGUGUGAGAGCACGACCCGCGUCAUUGGGACUGAGACACUGCCCAGACAACUACGGGUGGCUGCAGUCGAGAAUCUUCGGCAAUGGACGCAAGUCUGACCGAGCGACGCCGCGUGUGGGAUGAAGGCCUUCGGGUUGUAAACCACUGUCAGAGGGGAUGAAAUGCAGGUGGGUACUCCCAUCUGUUUGACAUAGCCUCAGAGGAAGUACGGGCUAAGUUCGUGCCAGCCGCCGCAGUAAGAC